UACGAAGGGGGCUAGCGUUGUUCGGAAUUACUGGGCGUAAAGCGCGCGCAGGCGGUUCUUCAAGUCAGAGGUGAAAGCCCAGAGUUCAACUCUGGAAUGGCCUUUGAGACUAGAGAACUAGGGUACGGGAGAGGUGAGUGGAAUUCCGAGUGUAGAGGUGAAAUUCGUAGAUAUUCGGAAGAACACCAGUGGCGAAGGCGGCUCACUGGCCCGUUACCGACGCUCAGGCGCGACAGCGUGGGGAGCAAACAGG
rnacentral:rRNA from 1 species